UACCAGCUCUCCGAGUGGUGUGGAUGUUUAUUGGGCCUAAAGCAUCCGUAGCUGGCUGGACAAGUCCCCUGUUAAAUCCACCGAUUUAAUCGUUGGAGUGCGGGGGAUACUGUUCGGCUAGGGGACGGGAGAGGCAGACGGUAUUUUCGGGGUAGGGGUGAAAUCCUAUAAUCCCGGGAAGACCACCAGUGGCGAAGGCUGUCUGCUAGAACGCGCCCGACGGUGAGGGAUGAAAGCUGGGGGAGCGAACCGGAUUAGAUACCCGGGUAGUCCCAGCUGUAAACGAUGCAGGCUAGGUGUUUGGGCGGCCACGUGCCGCUCUAGUGCCGCAGGAAAGCCGUUAAGCCUGCCGCCUGGGGAGUACGGCCGCAAGGCUGAAACUUAAGGGAAUUGGCGGGGAGCACCACAAGGGGUGAAGCUUGCGGUUU
rnacentral:rRNA from 1 species